rnacentral:tRNA from 1 species
UAAAAAUUAGUUAAUUUAUAACAUAGGUUUGUCAAGCCUAAAUUACCUCAAAGGUAUUUUUAA